AGCCAGGAAGCCAGGAAACUCCUCUCUGCAAGACAGCAGAAUGGACACCAGCCUGCUAAGCCUCCAUUCUUCAACGAGCAUCACCUGCAAGACAAAAGACAGAGAUACCACACAGUCUCCACAAAAUAGGUAAGUGAGGAUUAAUUAAGAUGGCUCCUAAUCUAAAUAGGCCACUAUAUAUACUCUUCUAGCAUAAACCCAACCUCCUGUUAUACUAGCCAGUCCUCCCUGCUCCCCAACUACACCCCUCCUAUGCCUGUCUCCUAGGAAUAUCAAGGCCCAUUCCUGUUAGCUGCGCUGCUUCAUGGGCUACGAUCCAUGUGUGGUAUUCCUGCAUCUCUGUCUCCAUUGCCUUGUCUUAUAAAAGCAAAGGCACAUACGUAUACACUUUAUGGGUAGGGAAGUAGUUAAGCGCAUCAAAUAGCUUUCAUUUUUGUCUCCAAACCAGCCAUAUAAAAG